UUUCGAUGGGAUUUGAUGUUCCGUCGGCGAUCUCGACUUAUAUACAUCUCUAGGCAUCGUGUCUAUGUUGUGACAGCUGCACGUGCUUCAACAUUGAUAUAUUUCUAUCGAUUUUUAUGAACAUUGAAAGAAGACACAGAUGAGAUGUUCAGUAUUUUGCUAACCUGCAGCACUCACGGUCAAUCCAAGUAACCGCAGAUGUCGAAAUCUUAGAUCUUAGGAAUAUCUGCUAUUCGUUUAUGUGCGAGAACAAUGACGUCGACUUGAGCACACAACCCCAAGGCCAUGACUUCAUACUUUUUGCUCAUUCUAUUGUCGAGAAAUAGAUGUACGCUCCACAUCGUUUGGCCGACUAAUUGAAUACGGUGUUUGGAUCUCACAAACACGAUUACGUCGAGGAAAUCAAGCUGGGAAUGAAUCCUGCCGAAAUAUCCUGACUUUUCACACUCCAGAAAUGUUUAAACCCGAUCAAUUUUAUAGAUGGACUAUGAGGGAUCCAUUUGGCUCGAAAUAGAAAUUCGACGUCCAACGAAGUUGCAAAUGGCUGCACGGACUCGCUGAAGAGGACCAUUGCCAAAAUGAUGACGUUGCACUUAACGAUGAUAAUCUCGUUGACUCCAACAAAAAGUCGUCGACGUUUGCCAGUUUGUAAUCGAGAAAUAAUGAGAAUAAACGUAUAACGGAUAAUUGAUAAGUCGUUUAAAUUCUCAUGUCUGAUUUAUUACAAUGACUGGGCUAUAUUGUAACAUAGAAAUGAUAAUAUAUCUGUCAAUGAUAUUGAAACGUUUGUAAGUUAGUGAUGGAUAUUUCAAUGCAGCCAUUGCUGAAUGUAUCUUUCAUGGGUUAUUUAUUAAUAA
rnacentral:lncRNA from 1 species